rnacentral:lncRNA from 1 species
AAAAAAGAAAUCUCUUGGACGUAACACUCAUCUUUCCUUAAUAAAGUGGAGUGUUCAGAAGACAAAGCAGUGAUAGCCUGGUAGGUAGAAUGAUCUACUCAAGUCUCUGUUAAUAAAUAGCUAAUACGGCCAAGACCGAAUCAGUAAAACUACUAUCUACUGAAGUCUUUACGGUACGUUCAAGUUUCAUGUUUCUGUCUACCGACAUAAUUUUUGUAUAGGAAAACAGUAUAAAUAUAUUGUGAUUUAUUUUGUUUGAACAUAUUUUAACUAUCAAACAAAUAUUUGUAUAGCAAUAUAUACAAAAUAAAACAAAAAACGUGGACUCAAAAGUCUUCAGCAUUUGUUGGAUAGCAAAAGAGUGGCAGGAUACUAAGCGUAAGUCAUUGUACAGGAUAAAAACGCGUUAGCAUUGGAGUUUAGUUCUGGUGUGAGUAGGAUGCUUCAUUUCAAUCCCUUAUAAAUUUAGAUAGCAUUUCAUGCAAUGUUAGUUGUGUAACGAAGAAAACAAGCUAAAAAUGACUAAAGAGAAAUCAUAUGUAAUAGCUCCUCUUCUUCUUCUAUCUUUGCUCCUAUGUCUUUCUUCUCAAGUUGGUGUCGCCGAGGCCAGACGCCAUACAAGUUAGUUAGUAUAUUUAUAUCCUUCUACGAAUAGUUGAAAUUUGUGUCCAGUUGUUCACGUUCUACGUUGUUUAUGAAAGUAGCAUACUCCAAUAAUGGCUUCAAUUUUUUUUUGUUAGUUAAUACCGGGUAUUCAGAUUCUCGAUGUGCCGAUAAAUUUCAAGCAACUCCUCCACCACCAGGUAGAAUUUGUAACUGAAAAUGCAAACCAAAUAGUCUGAAUAAGUUGUUUGUAUACAAAAAUUAUGCAUGAUUCAGAAAUGCAUGGUGUUACUAACUAGCUAAACCCAUUAAAGUUCAGUGUAAAGUUUGGUAAAGAAACAAAUCAUAUGAACUUGCGCAUAUUGUUAACAGUCUACAAACCUACCCCGCCGAUAGUCGCUCCGAGGUCUUCGUCACCCAAAGGAAAAGGCCCAUAACUCCAUAAGUGCUGAAAAGUUUCAAGAAAUGACAGGGGAUUGAAGAAACACACACAAGAAGAGUAAAAAACCUUUAUUACUGUACAACUCGUAUAUCGAAUUUUACGUGUAUGUAAACGUAAAAUUAAAUAAUUAUGUGUAAAACUUUUAAGUCAAAGAAGAUUACGAACUUUUAGCUAUGAUAUAUAAACAUUGAAAAAAAAAAUCCAAUUUAAGCAAGAAAAAAAUGUCAAUCAUCAACAUCAGGUAAAAGAACUUGCGCAUGUUGUUUACUAAAUUCACCCGCCGAAAGCGACUGAGGACACCGCACUCUAAUUAUAAACAAAGGAAAAAGGCUAAUAAGUGAAGUUUUCAAAAAAAGUGAUGGGGACU